GAUGAACGCUGGCGGCGUGCCUAAUACAUGCAAGUCGAGCGAACGGACGAGAAGCUUGCUUCUCUGAUGUUAGCGGCGGACGGGUGAGUAACACGUGGAUAACCUACCUAUAAGACUGGGAUAACUUCGGGAAACCGGAGCUAAUACCGGAUAAUAUUUUGAACCGCAUGGUUCAAAAGUGAAAGACGGUCUUGCUGUCACUUAUAGAUGGAUCCGCGCUGCAUUAGCUAGUUGGUAAGGUAACGGCUUACCAAGGCAACGAUGCAUAGCCGACCUGAGAGGGGAUUGGGCCACCCAGAAAAGGAGACCGGUCCCAUCCCCAUAGGGGGGGCAACGUAUGGGAAUCUGCCGUAUGGGUACAAAGACUAACGGCAAAACCCCGGGGAGGUGAAGAAGUUUUGCGAGUAGAAAAACCUUUUUUUUGAGAGAAAACAUAUGUUUAAGUAAAGGGCCACUUCUGGGCGGGACCAAACAAAAAAGCCACGGCUACCCUAGG
rnacentral:rRNA from 1 species